CACUCGCGGCCGUGGGUGCAUAUGGCGCCUCCCGCCUCUCGCGGUCUGGGUCCGGGCUGAGCGGGGUGGACGCCGGGCCCCGCGGGACUCCGCGGCCGUGGCGCCUCCCGCCUCCCGCGGUCUGGGCCCCGGGCUGAGCGGGGUGGACGCCGGGCCCCGCGGGACUCCGCGGCCCUGACGGAGGAGCGGCUCGGCCAGAGGAGAGCAGCGGCUGUUCAGCUGCCAUGUCUUCCCUGCUCCUGCUCGUCACGGGAGUCGAAUUAGCACUUGUUGAGUGUUUGCUCUAAGCGGAGCGUAAGUACUUCACUGCGGUUUCACGCCGCACCGCCCAAGCGCUGUACCUUCCCCGGAGCCUGGGGUGAGAGUCCGGGUGACGGACGGCAGACCCUGCACAGAGACGGGCGUCGCAAAAACCAUGUAUUAAACCGCCUGGUGUCGCUCCGUGA